rnacentral:rRNA from 1 species
CCUACGGGAGACAGCAGUAGGGAAUAUUGCGCAAUGGGGGAAACCCUGAAGCAGCAACGCCGCGUGGAGGAUGAAGGUUUUCGGGUUGUAAACUCCUUUUGUUAGAGAAGAUAAUGACGGUAUCUAACGAAUAAGCACCGGCUACCUCCGUGCCAGCAGCCGCGGUAAUACGGAGGGUGCAAGAGUUACUCGGAUUCACUGGGUGUAAAGAGAGCGUAGGCGGGAUAGCAAGUCAGAUGUGAAGUCCUAUGGCUUAACAAUAGAACUGCAUUUGAAACUGUUAGUCUAGAGUAUGGGAGAGGUAGGCGGAAUUCUUGGUGUAGCGGUAAAAUGCGUAGAUAUCAAGAGGAAUACUCAUUGCGAAGGCGACCUGCUAGAACAUAACUGACGCUGAUGCGCGAAAGCGUGGGGAGCAAACAGGAUUAGAUACCCCAGUAGUC